rnacentral:lncRNA from 1 species
CUUUCUCCCUCUACAUACCAUCCGCGUCCUCCGACUGGUCGUGCGUGGAGCUUCUACAACCUCAGGUGGCAUCUGGCUUCUGCGCAGGCCACAUCCCAUCCGCCCAUAAACAGGAAGGAAGACGUCGCCGCCUAGAUUCACCAAACGAACUGACCGACCUUUGUCUCGAUCCUCCUAUCAUGCUCCGACCAGCUCGUCUCCUCAGGUAUGUCUCCACUCCGCCUCUUUGUUUCGCUCCAUGCUCCAUCCGAGGAGCUCCUUCUCAGGAGAGGACUAUGAACGGGAGCCAAAGUGCCCCAGCUAGCGAGACAACGGCUUCACCAUAAGCCAGAACGUUCCAAGCUCCCGAUCAUCUCUCAUGGGAUGCAUGCCAUGUCAGCCCAACUGGUCCUGUCUCUCGCGACUGUAGAAAGGCAGCAACAUUUCCUUACUACUUAGUAUUUGCAAUAACUAUAUAUUUGUGGGGGGAAAUGUUUUUUAUGCUAUGAAUUUUAGGAUUCCAAUUUGUUGCUCACUUGCUCGUGUAUGAUCGUGUAUGAUGUACUGAUUAGUUGCUAGCUUCCCAC